GGCAGAAACCACCAGCUAACUGGGGAAACAGAGGAGCUGAAACAAAAGCUUUUCUGACCUUGAGGGCAGCUCUGCAGAGAAGCAAUCUGGAGAGAGAGGCUUGCUGUGGGUUCCCAGAGAUGGGAGUUGUCUCCUCUGUAGAAUGACAGAUUUGACAUCAUGAUAGAGACACAGGCAUUGGAGAGAGACAAGGCAGAGAAUGAGGGCAGGAUCAUCUUCUCAGCUCACUUACUUCACAGGCAGUCAAGUAAUUUGGAAAGUAUUUAUCAGCCUCGACAUGAGCUGGGGAACAUCUCACUGGGGAGAGAUGAUGGUGGCCUGUCCUCCUGGCAGUCUCUGGCUGAACCAUCAUCUGUGAAGUGUAACCAACCAUACUUUUACUGAGUAGAUGCAAAAAGUGGCAUUUGUGUAUUACUGAACAAAG